CCUACGGGAGGCAGCAGUGGGGAAUCUUGCGCAAUGGCCUAACGGCUGACGCAGCGACGCCGCGUGUAGGAUGAAGCUCUUCGGAGUGUAAACUACUGUUGCCCGGGACGAACAGCUCGAUUCAUCGAGCCUGACGGUACCGGGUGAGGAAGCACCGGCUAACUCCGUGCCAGCAGCCGCGGUAAU
rnacentral:rRNA from 1 species